rnacentral:lncRNA from 1 species
CUCAGUUUCCUCCUUUGGAACGGGAUGGUUGGACAGGAUGAUUCUAAGAGUCCUGCCUGCCCUUUGGAGCUGUCCCAGCUGUAUGGAUGGGGUUCCCCUGUGUACUACUUCCCCUGCCCGUUUGUCUCAGAGCCUCUCUGAUAGUCAUAAACCUGGGGACACAAACCUGGGGGAGGCGGACAGGAAAGCAUAUGCUCUGGGUCUGCAUGAUCAGCGCUGCUCAUAUAGCUAUUCAGCUCCGCUGCGAAUGGGACGUCACCUGGAAGACACUGUGUGCUUCCCCAGGCAGCUGUAGGGGCUUCCUCAAAUCUGCUCUUUUCCCUUUUGCUUCCCUCUUUUCAGUUUUUACCCGUCAUCCACCUUGCCCACUGAAGAUGUCACUUCGUAUUUUCUGACACUGGGACUUCAGACAAUGUCCUGAGGAUUGACUAGGGUUCAGGUUUCCCUCAGCCCUAUGUCUUAUGGCUCCAAUCUGAAUCCUUAAAUGGUUCCCAUUGCUUUUAGGCUGAAACCCUGGUUCUCAGUAUUGCCUGUAAGGCCCUUGUGGAGCAGGUUUUGCCUACUUGCCCAGCCUGACUUUGCGGCCCUCCUGCCCUGCCCUGCCCCUGGGUUUUUGGAGCCUUCUUUUAGGUCCCCAAACUCACCAUGCUCCCUCCAUGUUGGCCCCCAUGUGAACUCUACUUCCUGUUAUGGUCCCUUCUUCAGUCCCUCAGGUCAUGUUCCUCUGGCUGUUAUCCUUCUCCCCUGGUGACAAAACACCAUUUGAACUGAAAGAUCUGUUCCAUUAUAAGCCCAAGAGUUUGGUCUCCCCACUAGAUCACAGGCUGCAAUUGGGCAGGGACAGAUUGGGACGCCUAUUUUCUUCAACAUGGUCCUGUGCACCUGUUUAAUGCCCAGUUCCCAAUAGGUAUUUGUUGAAUACAUAAAGGAAUGUCAU